GUGAACGCUGGCGGUAGGCCUAACACAUGCAAGUCGAACGGCAGCACAGUAAGAGCUUGCUCUUACGGGUGGCGAGUGGCGGACGGGUGAGGAAUACAUCGGAAUCUACUUUUUCGUGGGGGAUAACGUAGGGAAACUUACGCUAAUACCGCAUACGACCUACGGGUGGAAGCAGGGGAUCUUCGGACCUUGCGCGAUUGAAUGAGCCGAUGUCGGAUUAGCUAGUUGGCGGGGUAAAGGCCCACCAAGGCGACGAUCCGUAGCUGGUCCGAGAGGAUGAUCAGCCACACUGGAACUGAGACACGGUCCAGACUCCUACGGGAGGCAGCAGUGGGGAAUAUUGGACAAUGGGCGCAAGCCUGAUCCAGCCAUACCGCGUGGGUGAAGAAGGCCUUCGGGUUGUAAAGCCCUUUUGUUGGGAAAGAAAAGCAGCAGGUUAAUACCCCGCUGUUCUGACGGUACCCAAAGAAUAAGCACCGGCUAACUUCGUG
rnacentral:rRNA from 1 species